GGGGGUGUAGUUUAGUGGUAGAACUUCGGCCUUCAGAUCCGAGUGUGUGGGUUCGAUUCCUGCCACCCCCGCCA
rnacentral:tRNA from 1 species